UACAGAGGGGCAAGCGUUGUUCGGAAUUACUGGGCGUAAAGGGCGCGUAGGCGGCCUUCUAAGUCGAACGUGAAAUCCCUCGGCUCAACCGGGAACUGCGUCCGAUACUGGCGGGCUUGAAUUCGGGAGAGGGAUGUGGAAUUCCAGGUGUAGCGGUGAAAUGCGUAGAUAUCUGGAGGAACACCGGUGGCGAAGGCGGCAUCCUGGACCGACAUUGACGCUGAGGCGCGAAAGCCAGGGAGCAAACGGG
rnacentral:rRNA from 1 species